rnacentral:piRNA from 1 species
UUGGGUNUCCUUUACUGCCUUACAUAGAAGC